rnacentral:lncRNA from 1 species
CACAAGAAGAAACAGAGGCACAGAGAGAUUCAGUCACGUGCCUGAGAUCACAAAGCCUGCAGGUGGAUUUCCAAUUUAGGGGAUCUGAUUCUAGAACUCCGUAGCUUAACCCUGGGUAAUAUCUGAUGGGAUAUAUAUUUCAAUAAUCCUGAACAUCACUAAAAGAAGAAUGAUGAGGCCAAAUUAUUCUUAGACAUUUUAAUAUCCAAAAACUGGCCCAGACCUUGAAUUUGAAAACUCUAUUGUCAUAACUUUUCUAAAAUUCCAAAUAACUCUAUCCCAAUUACAAUAUUAAAGUUCAUAUGUUACCUAUACUAUUUCAAAAAGUUUGACCAUUAUGAAUGAAUUUCUACAGGAGCUAUAACAAGGAAAAGAGAAGAAGAAUCAGAUUACUUAUAUCCUGUCUGCUCUUCAAAAAAAAAAUAUGAUUCUGAAUUUGAUUUGCCACUAAUGCCUUAAAGGUGAACAUUAACAUUAGGAAACAUAGAGUGCUUGUCUAUAUAGUGUUUUUUGUAGUUAAAAGGAACUUGGUUCCAAAGGUUUAAAAAAUUCUAGUUCAAAUCCCAUUCAUUUAUUUCAGCUGUGAACAUGGGGGAAAGGACAUCCAUAACCUUUCUAGCACAAGUAGAAGAGGAGACAGAGUCGAUAAGGACCAGAUGCAUCAAGCUCAGUAAGUAGGGGCAAAAAGAAAAUAAUCUCCAAUUACUCUCAAAUGCUUAGGAAAACCACAGACAGGUAGUGUAUGGGAAGGUAGAGGUUUUUUCCCUCUGGUCAUUUUAGGUUCUCUGGCUGCGACCCUGUAAACUGGAUUGACAAAACGCAGAUUAACAAGAGAAAAGCAAGCAGAAGUUUAGGAGCAUGUGCAUCACACAUAUACAUGGGAGUACCCAGCAAUGAGUAACUCAAAAGGGUGGUUAAAACUUGGGCUUAUGUAGCAGCAGCAUCAUCGUCAUCAUGAUAAAUGUUUAAAGAAGUGCCUGUAUGAAGAAAAGAACUUUGAGCUUCUAGGGCCAGCAAAUGGUAGCAGGCAAAGUAU